CAUAUAUCUUCCAAAUAUAGCAAAAUACGAUGAUUAACUAUCCUACUCAGCUGCAGCAGCCUCCUGGCCAACCACGGCCUCCUCACCCUCAGCAGGCCUCUCAAGCUUGACACCGACAUCCUCCUUGGUAUAGUCACCAUGGACCUGCAAAGCAAUAUUAAGUGUUAGAAUGACAGGCCACAGAAAGGCCGAAAAAAACAUGAUAGCUCUGUCACUAGGAAUUACCUCCAUUAGCUUCCCGAGGUCAAACUUGGGGGCCUUGAGGAUCUUGACCUUCCGGAUAAAAACAUUCUGCAGUGGGAAGAUGCUUGAGGUAGCCUUUUCAAUUUCCUUACCAAUGACCUCAGGAAUAAACUUAGACACCAACUCCUUCAGGUCACAGGUAGAGGCCUGGUUGGCCAUGAUCUCAACCAUCUUCCGGCGGAUCUGCACAUAGAGCGCAAGUAUAGUGAGACAAACAGGAUAACAUAGUUUCAGGCUGAUUUGACAGAUACAUGGACAUUGCUAGCUUUAGAACUCUUCUACAUAAGCAACGACAGAUGUUACCUGACGGAUCUGGGAGGCCUGUGCAUAGCAGGUACGCUUCACUUGGUUGGGUCUCCUCUUUGUGAAUCCGAUGCAAAACAACCGCAACAUGUAGUUGUCAGUGGUCUUCACAUCAACAUGGGCCUCAAUCAGUGUCUGCCAUUUCCUGACCAGGGACCGAAGCUUGUCGGUCGUAAAAUCCAUACCCUAAGAAACAAAGAGGACAAGUUAACAACACAAACACAAUGAAAGGGGCAACAAGUAUGUGCUGCUGAUCAUUACCCAGAAGUUGGUAAGGACAUUACGACCCUGGAUAUCUUCAGCCCGGAGACGGAUCUUCCUGUAGGCCUGAUCUUCAUCACUCUGAAGAUCAGCAAGGGAAACCUCAAACACACGGUGCUUGAGACCCUCUGAAGCAAUCUAAAACCACAGAAAACAUGCAUGAAUCAGCAUAUUAUGCCAACAAGUAGUGCAUCUACAUUCAGAAGAUUGCAAAUAGUAGCAGCCAAUAAAACAGUAUCUGAAGGUUUCAAAGCUUCAAUUUCAUAGACUCUUGAUCCACAGUUCAGGUCCCAAAAAAUCACAAUAGCAAUUCAGAAUGACCCUUACUAGUAUAUUGAUAUAGAACCAAAAACACAUAACUAGCAGAAUCAUUCCCACAGAGAGCGGUUCCCAAUAAUAGGUGCCAACUAACAUGAAUGCACUACAUAUACUAUCAGAUGAGAUAUCAGACACCAAGGUGUGUGCACAAUCAGUACGAGAAUUCUAUCAACUCUAGUAAAUUCAGCAAUAUCCCUCUAGAAAAAGAAGUGUCAACACUAGCAUCAGUGGAGUAGAUGAACUACACUUACUAAGGAGAAGCAUGAUACACGAUUCGUUUGUUAAUACGAGUUCGUAAGUCGCAAAUAUACAGUCCUAAAAUACAACUUGAGCAAGCGCACAUAAGGCACGAGCACAUUUAAGCUACUGCAUGAAUUGUCUGUCAAGCUAGCACUACCGCGGCCACACAGGAAAAACAGAUGCGCACAAUUUUUAACAGAGAGCGUAGCAGCAGUACAAAUCGAGACGAUCUAGAGAGCAAGAUGAUCACGAACCUUGGUACCCUGAGUCCUGGAGACGAGAGUCUUGCCGAUGUUGCGCACGGAGAACACAGAGGGGGCCUUGAUGUCAU
rnacentral:lncRNA from 1 species